rnacentral:rRNA from 1 species
GUCCACGCCGUAAACGAUGGAUACUAGCUGUUGGGAGCAAUCUCAGUGGCUAAGCGAAAGUGAUAAGUAUCCCACCUGGGGAGUACGUUCGCAAGAAUGAAACUCAAAGGAAUUGACGGGGGCCCGCACAAGCGGUGGAGCAUGUGGUUUAAUUCGAUGAUACGCGAGGAACCUUACCAAGGCUUAAAUGUAGUUUGACAGGUUUGGAAACAGAUCUUUCUUCGGACAAAUUACAAGGUGCUGCAUGGUUGUCGU